rnacentral:rRNA from 1 species
AUUGAACGCUGGCGGCAGGCCUAACACAUGCAAGUCGAGCGAGCGGCGGACGGGUGAGUAAUGUAUGGGGAUCUGCCCGAUAGAGGGGGAUAACUACUGGAAACGGUAGCUAAUACCGCAUACCAUCAGAUGUGCCCAGAUGGGAUUAGCUAGUAGGUGGGGUAAAGGCUCACCUAGGCGACGAUCCCUAGCUGGUCUGAGAGGAUGACCAGCCACACUGGGACUGAGACACGGCCCAGACUCCUACGGGAGGCAGCAGUGGGGAAUAUUGCACAAUGGGCGAAAGCCUGAUCCAGCCAUGCCGCGUGUGUGAAGAAGGCCUUAGGGUUGUAAAAUACUUUAAGCGGGGAGGCGUUACCCGCAGAAUAAGCACCGGCUAACUCCGUGCCAGCAGCCGCGGUAAUUC